rnacentral:rRNA from 1 species
UCUCCGGCGUCCGUUUCGGUAAUACGAUGAUUUUCUAUCGCGCUAAAGAGCAGAGGGUGCUCGAUCUGCUGCGCAACCUCGCUCUCGAACGGUUGGUGCCCUUUUUGCAGAGGGUGA